GCCAGCUUAGCUCAGUUGGCAGAGCAGCUGAUUUGUAAUCAGCAGGUCUCCGGUUCGAACCCGGAAGCUGGCUCCA
rnacentral:tRNA from 1 species